GAUUUGGUAGAUCAAUAAUGGUACUAGUACCGGCUCUCCGCCACCUCAUCAUCAUCAUGGAGUAGGUGUCUCCUCCGUCAUCGCCGUCACGUCCACCCCUACCGGUCCCAAGAGACCGUCCUCCUCCUCCUCCUCCCCCUCGCCGUCAACUUAUCCCGCCGCCGCUGCUCGGCCUUCCACAUCCCAACCCGCACCAAAAUCUAUCAAGGUGACCCCAUCUCGUAAUCAUAAUACUUUAUAAUCUCGGAAUAAUUUCUGGCUGGCUACGCUACUGCCUAUAAUUCGUUGAUGGUUAUGCAGAGGGAAGGGAUGAAUCGGAAAGGUACGAAUAAUGGUGGUGCAUCAAAUUCAGAGCAUCAAGGUCCCAAGACGCCUGACCCUAAG
rnacentral:lncRNA from 1 species